AGCGGAGGGAUCAUUACCGAGUUUACAACUCCAAACCCCUGUGAACAUACCUUAAUGUUGCCUCGGCGGAUCAGCCCGCGCCCCGUAAAACGGGACGGCCCGCCAGAGGACCCAAACUCUAAUGUUUCUUAUUGUAACUUCUGAGUAAAACAAACAAAUAAAUCAAAACUUUCAACAACGGAUCUCUUGGUUCUGGCAUCGAUGAAGAACGCAGCAAAAUGCGAUAAGUAAUGUGAAUUGCAGAAUUCAGUGAAUCAUCGAAUCUUUGAACGCACAUUGCGCCCGCUGGUAUUCCGGCGGGCAUGCCUGUUCGAGCGUCAUUUCAACCCUCAAGCCCCCGGGUUUGGUGUUGGGGAUCGGCUCUGCCCUUCUGGGCGGUGCCGCCCCCGAAAUACAUUGGCGGUCUCGCUGCAGCCUCCAUUGCGUAGUAGCUAACACCUCGCAACUGGAACGCGGCGCGGCCAUGCCGUAAAACCCCAACUUCUGAAUGUUGACCUCGGAUCAGGUAGGAAUACCCGCUGAACUUAAGCAU
rnacentral:rRNA from 2 species